rnacentral:lncRNA from 1 species
GGAGAAAUCAAAAAUUUCAAAACGAAAACUAAUCAAACACAUCAAACAAAUCAAGCAAUUGGAGAAAUCUCAAUAACAAAUCAAUCGAAAAUUUCAAUAAACUUGGAGAAAUCUUCAGAACAGAUCUGGAUCAUCUUCUCGCUCAAGCCACCGCCGCUCGCACUCCGCCGCGCCGCGCCGUGCCGCUGCUAGGGUUUUACCCAGAGGGGUGGACGGUAGAUAGACGCAGCAAAACCAGAGGGGUGGACGGUAGAUAGACGCAGUCGGAGUAGGCUUUCUGCGCGAAUCGCGACAGAUCACCUCGAGCCUCUGUAUCGUCUUCUCGCUCAAGCCACCGUCGCUCGGACUCAGCCGCGCCCCGCCGCUGCUAG